GGAAUGUAGCUCAGUGGUAGAGUGUUUGCCUAGCAUGUACAAGGCCCUGAGUUCAAACCCUGCCACCA
rnacentral:tRNA from 1 species